AUGCAGAUAUUUAUUUACAAUUAAUAACUAACUGCAUUUAUAAAUAAAUAUAUUUAUAAUAACUAACUGUGAGGAUGGUUUUGCCUAGUGUUGACUGCAUUCCUUCUUAUGCUACAGGGAAGUGACAUAAACAGAAGCAGGCAGAUAGAAAUGCCGCUGCGCAGAGUCCACAACACUUGAAUAUUUCGAUUGAGAAGCAGCCCUAACAGACUAAGACGAAUACUAACUGAGGACCCACCAGACUUGGAGAAAUAAACCCCUUUUGACUGAGCCAACUGAGGCUGCUCUUGAAAUCAAAAUCUAUCAUAAAGUAAGAGUGAAGCUGCAGCGUGGGUCUACCUAAAACUCAAUUCAAGGGCCUUGGGAUCGAGGGCAGGAGUGUGCCUGUGACCAGCUGUCAUUAGUUCUAUUGACUACCUGUGGGAAAGCUGGUCAAGUGGCCACUUGCUCACCUCAAGACAAUGAAUGAAGCUUUCCUGGAUGCUAAGUGACUGCCACCUUGUGAGCUAAGCCUGGCAAGACCUUUGGGCUACACUUCCCUCCUCACUGUGAGCUGUGGCUUGGGCAGGCUCAAAGGGGCCCACUCACUCUGCAGAUGUGCCUCAGGGACAUGGAUGACUCUGCCAGCUGCACUUGAGGGCAAAAUAAUCAUUUACAGCUUCCCA
rnacentral:lncRNA from 1 species